UCUGUUGAUCAAUUGGCAAGAUGUCGGCAUAGCUGAUGUUAUAGAAUCUACUGAAAGCGGCUAUGCUGCAUCUAGUCAAUUAUUGCA
rnacentral:pre_miRNA from 12 species